CAUUAUUUCAGUGUGUGACAGGCACUGGGCUAAGCUCUGGAAACACACCCAUGAACUGGCUAUGCCUUCAAGGAGCUGAAAAUGUUUCCAAUGGACUCACAAGUAGCAGCCCUGUCCUGGGAAUUGUUGAAGCAGCAGUAAACAAAACACCAUCCUGCUUUCAAUGAUGUCAGAAUAUAAUGCCAAAGUAACAAGAAAAUAAACCAUUGAAAUACA